rnacentral:lncRNA from 1 species
CUGGUGAGAGGCAACGAUGCUUGUUGCAGUCACUGCAUGGAGGGAUCGCUGCUGCUGAGGGCUGGGAGGCAGCGAUGGUGAUGUGGUUGGGGGCAGUGCCGGCAAGGACUCGCCGCUGCGGUGGCUGCGAUGGAGGAAGAGUUGCUGCCCUGUGUUUUUGUCACUGUGUGAGAUGAGAGCGUCGAGGCUGAAAGGCGACGGUUGUGACUGCUGUGACCCAAGGAAGCAAUCGCCAAGCAGCCGGGUUGAGGCUGCGGUGAUGCCAACCAACAACUGCAGCAGCGGAGGCAGAACAAGAGGGAGGUGGCGUUGAAGCGGCCGGGGUUGAGGCUGCAGUGGUGGCAACCGGCGGCUGCGGCAAAGAUGCAGAGCAAGGG